rnacentral:rRNA from 1 species
ACUCCUACGGGAGGCAGCAGUGAGGAAUAUUGGACAAUGGGCGAGAGCCUGAUCCAGCCAUGCCGCGUGCAGGAAGACUGCCCUAUGGGUUGUAAACUGCUUUUAUACAGGAAGAAUAAGCCUUACGUGUAAGGUGAUGACGGUACUGUAAGAAUAAGGACCGGCUAACUCCGUGCCAGCAGCCGCGGUAAUACGGAGGGUCCGAGCGUUAUCCGGAAUUAUUGGGUUUAAAGGGUCCGUAGGCGGAUGAUUAAGUCAGGGGUGAAAGUUUGCAGCUCAACUGUAAAAUUGCCUUUGAUACUGGUCAUCUUGAGUUGUAUUGAAGUAGGCGGAAUAUGUAGUGUAGCGGUGAAAUGCAUAGAUAUUACAUAGAACACCAAUUGCGAAGGCAGCUUACUAAGUACUAACUGACGCUGAUGGACGAAAGCGUGGGUAGCGAACAGGAUUAGAUACCCCAGUAGUCC